AUUGAACGCUGGCGGCAGGCUUAACACAUGCAAGUCGAGCGGGGGGAGGUAGCUUGCUACCGGACCUAGCGGCGGACGGGUGAGGAAUGCUUAGGAAUCUGCCUAUUAGGUGGGGACAACAUCUCGGAAGGGAUGCUAAUACCGCAUACGGCCUACGGGAGAAAGCAAGGGAUCUUCGGACCUUGCGCUAAUAAGUGAGCCUAAGUCGGAUUAGCUAGUUGGUGGGGUAAAGGCCUACCAAGGCGACGAUCUGUAGCGGGUCUGAGAGGAUGAUCCGCCACACUGGGACUGAGACACGGCCCAGACUCCUACGGGAGGCAGCAGUGGGGAAUAUUGGACAAUGGGGGGAACCCUGAUCCAGCCAUGCCGCGUGUGUGAAGAAGGCCUUAUGGUUGUAAAGCACUUUAAGCGAGGAGGAGGCUACUUUAGUUAAUACCUAGAGAUAGUGGACGUUACUCGCAGAAUAAGCACCGGCUAACUCUGUGCCAGCAGCCGCGGUAA
rnacentral:rRNA from 1 species